UGGGGAAUAUUGGACAAUGGGCGCAAGCCUGAUCCAGCCAUGCCGCGUGAGUGAUGACGGCCUUAGGGUUGUAAAGCUCUUUCGCACGCGACGAUAAUGACGGUAGCGUGAGAAGAAGCCCCGGCUAACUUCGUGCCAGCAGCCGCGGUAAUACGAAGGGGGCUAGCGUUGCUCGGAAUCACUGGGCGUAAAGGGCGCGUAGGCGGUCUUUCAAGUCGGGGGUGAAAGCCUGUGGCUCAACCACAGAACUGCCUUCGAUACUGUUAGGCUUGAGUCUGGUAGAGGUUGGUGGAACUGCGAGUGUAGAGGUGAAAUUCGUAGAUAUUCGCAAGAACACCGGUGGCGAAGGCGGCCAACUGGACCAGCACUGACGCUGAGGCGCGAAAGCGUGGGGAGCAAACAGG
rnacentral:rRNA from 1 species